GUUUCUCAUGAACAAAAUGGUUCCCUUCUUCUACAAAGACGGUUUCCAAAUCUGGAACUCUAUGCUUCAGUAUGUCACUCUUUAUGUAGUCUGCAAUGCCAGGGAAACUAAGAGCAUAGUCCUUCUCCCCCAUAAUCAGCAACGUUGGUGCUACAACUUUUGGAUUAGUUAUUCCACAGCAAUCUAUGCCUAAAGUCCUGCACAGAAACUCUAACCAUUAACGUUCACUGUUAUUACUCUCUAGAGCUAAAUGCUUUGGUUUUCAGUCCCAGGAGUGUGCAAUUAGCAAGAAAAAUGGAAUUUUUUUUAUCAUUGCCUAGAAUAGUUUAAGUCACGUGAUGACAACGUAAUUAAAUAGUGAAUUUUUUUAUGUUUUUCCAUCGUUCUAGCCGUUGGAGGUUAAUUUUCUUUAACAUGGAGUUAUAUGGUUACCUGUAUGGAACCUGCAAUGAAUAGCGAAAUCCAGACUUCUCGUACAAGGAUGCAUAGACUGCAAGAUCUUCUUCAGAGAACCAUGGUGGUAGAGGAGUAGACGGGUCAACCAUGUCCAUGAUCUCUUGGUCCUCUCUAGCUGUUGGUGGCUUAGUUCCAGAGAAGAGAAUGUAGAUGUUUUUUA